UUAAAUUGAAGAGUUUGAUCAUGGCUCAGAUUGAACGCUGGCGGCAGGCCUAACACAUGCAAGUCGAACGGUAACAGGAAGCAGCUUGCUGCUUUGCUGACGAGUGGCGGACGGGUGAGUAAUGUCUGGGAAACUGCCUGAUGGAGGGGGAUAACUACUGGAAACGGUGGCUAAUACCGCAUAACGUCGCAAGACCAAAGAGGGGGACCUUCGGGCCUCUUGCCAUCAGAUGUGCCCAGAUGGGAUUAGCUUGUUGGUGAGGUAACGGCUCACCAAGGCGACGAUCCCUAGCUGGGCUGAGAGGAUGACCAGCCACACUGGAACUGAGACACGGUCCAGACUCCUACGGGAG
rnacentral:rRNA from 1 species